AGUAUUUAGGUGACAUACACACCUGUCUGAGAAGGCACGGAUUGAAACUGAAUGUAAAGAAACAGCAUGGAAGUGUGACAAAGUCAUCUCCCCUGUUCUUUACUGCCCUCCAGUUACUGAAUCUGGGAACCAAGAACUCAGAACUGGACUGAGAAUAUCAUAAAAGCACAAAAAGGAUCCGUCCCUUCUAGAACUGGGCAACACUUUGAAUUCAGAAGCGAGCUUUUGGAGGCCUGGUCUUUUCUCCCCUAUGGAAAGAAUGGAAGGUCAAUGGAAAAGGUGUAAAGAGCUUUCCUGAUGUGUUUCCUCUCAUAGCUUUCUCUUGGUUUUAAUGGGAGGGAACUUGAAGGAAGGUAGAACGAAGCUGAUGUUUUCCAAGCAGCAUUGGAACAGAGCGGAUGACAGGAGUUACUGACUGGGAAGCUACUCCAAGGGAUGGAAGAAGAUAUUUGCAAGGAACUACCCUUCUUGCUUAGCACAUAGGUAUUGGUUUUGAUCAACUGCAGAAGAGAUGGAGCUGAGUUUUAGCAAGAGGCCUCAGAACAAUGUCAAACUAGCAUGUUAAGCAGCCAUGCCAGAAAACUGCAGGAUCUACGGUCUGCAUGUUAAGUGCCUUGUCACCCCACAGAAAACUGCAAAGGUACUCUCACCAGAGCCAGUCUCAACGCUGACAACGUUCAUACUCCCACAAGAGGGCAGUAGGCAAGCACUGUACAGGAAAUCCCCUUUGCACUGGAUUUUAUUUAAUAUCAACCUUAUAAUUCAAUUCUGCUUAUUAAUCAUAGGGAAAUCCGUACAAACUGUCAGAGUAAUUUAAUGCAUAAUAUGAAAUUAAUCCCAUUUUACAGCUACUAUACUGAGAAAUUACUUUUUAGCUAAUUUGUACUCAUAAUUACAUAAGUUUAAACAUAAGUUUAUGCCUCCUGGUAUCUUCCACCUGUGUCCCGAGAUGUGAGGUUCUUUGCUGUCACAGUUGUAAAUAAAUAUUCUGGGAUGCUGUCCCAGCAUAGGAAAUUCAUGUAGGCGAAAUGAAGCACUUUCUGAAGCAAAGAAGACAAAAGAUUGAUUGUCUAGCUAGAAAUCAGCCUGGUAAUCUCCCACGUGGUACCCUUCCCUGCCUGAAGCUCUGCACGUUACUGCAGUUCCUCCUGAUCCAUCUCCUGCGGCAGCCAGGACCAGCCUCAGUCACCCCCUUCACACUGCUCCAGCCCUAAACUUCAUGGCAUAGCAAGGUAGCAUCUGCACUGGUGGAGUGGCAUGGCCUUGCGAGUCAUCUCAGUGUGACUUGCUGGAUCUUACCCUCUGUCCACCCAGGCAGCACGAAACUUCUGCAGCUGUAAGACUUUUGAACAAAGAAAACUUUUUCUCAGCACAAGUGGCAUCUAAGGCUGCCUUUCCCACAGGGGCACUCUUAGUACCGGAAAAAAAGGCCUUUGUGAAGGGGUUUCACUCCCAUUGUCUUUUUGGCCAUCAUUUCAACCUACGAGGGCAACCUUCAUAAUAAAAUACCUGGGCAUUUCUCACCAGCAUGUGUCUUACUUUCAAAAUAAUUAUACAUUUGGGAUUUUCUGUGCUGAGAGAAAAGUUUGUUCCAAAGAAGUUAGAUGGUUUUGGAUGCUUGCAGUUCUAAAACAGCUGUGAACCAUGCCUAGUUGAACGUCAUCUGUUCGCAAACAAGACUGUGUUUUCUUCUACAUAGAAGUGAGCUGUUUCAGCAAUGUUUAAUCAACCAGCACUGACCUUUCUUCUCAAAUGCCACAAAUUUGUUUUCCAUAAAUGUUUAACUACUUAUUUCUAAAGGUAAAGGUUCACAACAUGUAAAACCUACUUUUAACCUUACACUGAUUUUGUAGUUACCACAUAGCAUGGUUGCUGUAGGGCUGCAUAUGUGUUUUAGGAGGUGAAAAUUUUUCAUUUGUAUUCCAAACGUCUUAUGACACUUGUGUUAUCUCCUUUUUCGUUUUGCUUAUGACGUCUUUCUGUAUUGUCCUAAGAUAAGUGAAAAUACUGACAAAGAGGAAAAAAAUUAAGCCCAU
ensembl:lncRNA